AUACAGGGGGUGCGAGCGUUAAUCGGAAUUACUGGGCGUAAAGAGUACGUAGGCGGUUGCUUAAGUCAGAUGUGAAAGCCCCGGGCUCAACCUGGGAACUGCAUUUGAAACUGGGUGACUAGAGUUUAAGAGAGGGGAGUAGAAUUCCGGGUGUAGCGGUGAAAUGCGUAGAGAUCCGGAGGAAUACCAGUGGCGAAGGCGGCUCCCUGGCUUAAAACUGACGCUGAGGUACGAAAGCGUGGGUAGCAAACAGGAUUAGAAACCCGAGUAGUCC
rnacentral:rRNA from 1 species